GUGUCCCUUUGGGUACAUCUCAUAAAAUGGAACGAUGAAGAGAAUAUUAGUGUGUCCCUUGCACAAGGAUGACAUACACAAAUCGAUAAAAAAAAAAACUUAGG
rnacentral:snRNA from 1 species